GCCUAGCCGUAAACAUAAGCAGCCUGUCACCUUGCUGCUCGCCAGGGGACUACGAGCCCUAGCUUAAAACCUAAAGGACUUGGCGGUGCUUUAGACCCCCCUAGAGGAGCCUGUUCUAGAAUCGAUAAUCCCCGUUUCACCUCACCCUCUCUUGUUCCCCCCGCCUAUAUACCGCCGUCGUCAGCUUACCUUGUGAAAGGUAAAUAGUAAGCAGAAUUGGCAAAGCCCAAAACGUCAGGUCAAGGUGUAGCGUACGGGAGGGGAAGCAAUGGGCUACAUUUACUGCUACAGUAAAUACGGAUCUUGCACUGAAACGAGCAUCUGAAGGAGGAUUUAGCAGUAAGGGGGAAGCAUGAGAGCCCCCCUGAAAACGGCCCUGAAGCGCGCACACACCGCCCGUCACUCUCCCCAAUGUAACCAUACAUAUAAAUAAGAAAUACUUUACUAUAAGGGGAGGCAAGUCGUAACAUGGUAAGCGUACCGGAAGGUGCGCUUGGAAAAACC
rnacentral:rRNA from 1 species